rnacentral:lncRNA from 1 species
GUUUCGCUAGGUCGUAUCCCAUCAUUUUUAAUAUGAGGUACGACAGAUGGCGACUCUGCUGGGGAAAACCACGUUCCCUAAGCGAGUCAAGCCUAGUUAGGACGUUUGUGUGCCUUUGUUUGUUUAAUUGUGUGGUUUUUCCUUAUUUAUUGCUUUUUAUUAUCUUUAUUAUUUUAUUGAUAUAUCUGUUGUAUAUUGGUUCUAUUGUGAUUGUUGGUAUUUGGGUAUUUGAUUGCAAACCAUGUGGGAAAG